UCGGGCACAGCAGACUGUCUCCUCAACUAGACUGUGCACUUUUGGUUCCCUGUGACCCUUGCCUUUCAUCUCUGAUUCCAACAACGAGCUCAGGAGCUGGGACAUCACAGGGACUGCUCAGGAAAUGAAUCACUUGUUUGUCAUCCGGCACUGAGAAAAGCACCGUGUUAUCAGUAUAAACUGGAAACAGUCACUAUGGUGCUCUGAGACCUUCCCGGCAACACUGUUAAAUAGUGAUCCUCAAUCCAGCAGAAGUUACCUGGCCUGGCAUUGUCUCAGGGGGUUCUCACCACCCAUUAAACUAAAAGGCUAGAAGAUGAAAAUCAGGAAAAAUUGUGGAGUACAAAGCAACUCCUGACCCACAAGAGGAGUAUGAUGAGAAUUUAGAAAUGUGGGAUGCCUGCUAGAUGGAGAAAGAAAAUGAGCAGAGAAGAUUCACUGGGGUUUAAACGUCUGAACAGGCCAUCUAUAGGAAUUUCUUAGGGUGAAUUCCCAUUAGUGAGUAUGAUUUGUGAGCAGGCAAUCAUUAAAAUGUAAAAACUUUUGUGAGUA